UUUGAAUUUUCGUGUUGUGUUUUCACCAGAAUAGAAACUAUGUACGUGUUUGGCUUGGUUACGCAAAAGCCUACUUAACAGGAUAUGAGGUGUCCAGUGCCUGGUGUCAGGUGCCAAAACGUUGCUGUAUUGAUUUUACGGCAAAAAUGACUUUUUACCACAUCAUUGAUUUUUUUAGCCGCUGACGAUAACGGCAAGGCUUGACCUUCUGGGCCACGCACAAACAAAAAUCAAAUGUGCUGCUUCCUGCUGCAGUAACAUGCCGCAUUCCAAUGCGUCGACAUUAACUUCCAGCCGUUGCUGUUGACCCAUUCGGUUCGAGUUGGACAUGCGCAGAAGGGUCGCAGGAUAUUAUUUCACAAACGACCAUUCGAUUUGAUCGUCAGUUAAUAUGAAAAAGAAAACUGUUCCACGUCAAUAAUAUUGUGUUUAUAGUUGAAAUAAACAAAUUUUCUCAACGAA